UCUUCAUGUCGCCGCUAGAGGGAGCCAGAGCUGCUGUCUGACGCUGCUCAUUUCUCAUAUCAAUGCGCCAUGUGGCCGCUAGAGGGAGCUGCUGUCUGUUGGGGCUGCUCGGUCAUCUUAUCAAGUUCUCGUCUGGGUGUGUCCAAGUGUCCCUCAGAGAAGCAGCAGUGGGGAGUUCAUCUCCUCCAAACCACCGUGAGCACUCAUGAAGGUGCCUGUGGUGGCGUUCACACCUCAGUCAUGUUUAUUUUUAAACAAUAGGCGUUAGGGUUGUACCAUCCGCCGUCACCAUGGCAACGCAUCGCGGCAGAAAGGAAACGGCCCGGAGCAAAGCGCAGCCAAAGCGGCAGCACAAACCGGCCAAGGGCUCCAAGAAGCGACCGCCGGCCAAGGCUCGGAGCAAAAGCAGCAAGCUGAUGCGGGCGAAGAAGCGGGGACUGACGAAAGGAAUUCGUGCUGAGCCUAAAAAGAAGAGUCGCACAGUUUCAAAGCAAAGCAGAGCUGUCAUCAGGAGAAAAUCUCUGAGGCUGAAGAAACCUGCAGGGGUCAGGCGGAGCGGACAGAAGGCGAGCAGCACCCCCCCCAAACCUGCAGGCAGACGUGACGCCUCCAAGAAGACGAGCGGCGUCCGCAGAAAGUAAAAAACCUGCAGAAAAAUCAGACUCAUUCCAUCCAAAUGAAACAGCUUGACAGCUUGAAA
rnacentral:lncRNA from 1 species